UUCAAUGCCGGAAGUUCUCUCAGCUCUUUCCACGCUGUUGCAGUGAGGACGACGAGCCGUGAUCUUUGACCUACACCAGCGUUCAGGAUUAUUUUCUAGACUUGGUUUUUGAUCGUCUGAAAAGCUGCCUGUUUUGCUCAGUAAGAGCUAGGACUCUGUUUCAGCUUUUAGUCUAUAGGUAUACACGACAGGCAAUCCACAAACGUGUGUGACUGUGGCAUGGUAAUUAGUCCAAGCUUUAGAGGAAGAAAGACAUUUUGAACAAGUAAUUAAAAUAUAGCCGCACUGGGUCACUUUGUUUUGUGGUAAUUCAUGGCUUCAGGUAUGGGCUCCAUGCUCCAUUAACAACUCUAGUAAACAACUGUCUGGCUUGAGCUAUGUAAACUAUUUUCAUUAACGUGGAUUAAUUAAGAAAGAUGCCUUAGGCGUUGAUUGAGUACAUAAACAUGUGAACUUGCUAAGAGCAUUUAGUACAGCUUUUCAGACACAGCACUAGCCUUGGGGGCUCAUGAUGUAAUACAUAAUACACAAAUCUAUAACCUGUUAUUAAACAUCCUCGUUUCGUAAAACACAAGGCUAAUAGUGCUGUGUAAAGACAGCCUCAUUAUCAUCAUGAACAAACCGCUUUGUUGUAGCUUGUUUUUGCAGUGCCAAGGCCUUGUAUCAAAAGGCAGACGUCAAAUUGUACCUUACUCAGCUUUUCUUACCCACAACAAUGAGAAAACACAAAUUAAAUUCAUAUUUGUAAAUGGCUCAGGUUUGAGUUCCGACUACCGAAUGGUUCUUCUUAACUAUCAUUCCUUAACGUGGCUCCAAGGCAAAAUUUUAUGCAAAAAAAAGUGUUAACUACCGCAAAUAAGACUGCCGUAAAUAUUCAUUACAAAUACGUGUAUGAAAAAAACGUCUACUUUUCCUAAAUGAUAUGAAAGACGCCUUUUGAAAAAAAAUGCAAGCGCUAAGGAUAGAACUCAAUGGCAGAACACUCGCCUGGUGUACACAUAACCGUGGUUACGAUUUCCAGCACCACAAAAGGGAAGAGAACAGAAAGCACCCAACAGUUUCCAAGCACGGUUGGACCACUGUCAACACCCUUGAGCAAUGGAGGUGCACUUUUUCACAGCCAUCCAGGACUUCUCAGCAGCUGAAGGUAUUUGAUGUUCUGGGCAGAAACGUAGCUGAGUAAAAAACGGGCACUCUCCGGAGGACUAGGUCCUUAGAGCAAGGCCAAGAUCUACUUCCCACAGAGGAUCCCGAGGACUGGCGCUUGACAGAGGUGCUGACACCGUACCGACACAAACAUGGGGGCGUCCAAGGAAGCUGAGAGAGACCUUCAAAGAAGGCUCCGUGGUGCUCCUCACUUCUGUGUGGCUUUAGGGACUGAGCGCGGAAUGUAUUAAGAGGGUGGGAAGGGGCUGGUGAGUCAUGAACGUAUCAAGCAGAGUGAUCCCUGCAAGAACAAAACAGAACUCCGAGUUCCAUCGAGAGACACGACUUUGCCUGGGAAUGCCCGGAGAGCGCUAACACCUGCGCGCCACCUUCUAGGGCCGCUUUCAAGCCCCAACCCCGCGCUAUCCAGCUGUCAAUCAUGUUAUCACGAAAGAGAAUGGUAAAGCUACUUCACAAGUCCUUUACAAGACUCACUUUUCAAAAGUUCAUGUUGUCCUAAAUGCUCCAGUAAGCGCUAAUCCUCCAGACUAAAACCUUUCACUGAAAACAUUUUCAGUUCAAACCCCUAGAGAGACAGGAUUUCCAUGGUGUCUCCAUCACAGCCUGGUUCCUCACCUCACCACUAGAACCCUGCCCGUGGCACUCCAGGUCACAGAUUCUACUCUGAAGAUCUCAAGUCUGGUAGUGUGCGACUGUCCCAGGGCAUUAGGACGUGUUUCUUCAGCCUGUCCUCGCCAUGUCCUCUUUAUUGCUCAAGAUAGUACCAUCAGUGUCACAGUACCGUACUGAGAUACAUCCCGGGAGAAUAAGAACGGCUCUUCUGUGCCCGCCACUACCCUCUGUCUGUCUCUACUAGAGCGUGUAUGAGAAGUCUUCCAGCUCUGCUUGUGCCCCCGUCAACCUAACUGGACAGGAGUUCCUCAGAGGCAGGGCUGGUCUUUAGCUCCUUGUCCCUCCAGCAGCCAUUACUUUGACUGUUGCAAAACUGGGCUAAAUAAACUAAAACGUGCUGAGUGACUCGGAUGAAGCAUUUAUCCAGUUAUUCUUUAUCAAUAAAAACUCGGGAGUCAGAUAUGGGGCCCAGAACCCAAAUGAUGAGAAAAGUGGUGGAAAAGCCACCAGUGACCUCCCCGGCCCCCUGACCCCAGCUCUCUCUUGUUCCUCAAUCUAGAGAGGCCGAGACCCUCUCUA